rnacentral:tRNA from 1 species
UUCCUGGUGGUCCAAUGGCUAAGACUCUGCAUUUCCAAUGCAGACCCGGGUUCAAUCUCUGGUCAGAGAA